AGUAUCUGACCUCUAUGAGCAUCCACUUAGGAUCAGUCUGAAAUAGUCCUCUUUAAUCUAAAUUUUGGUUCUCCAAAAUUCAGCCUGCUGAAUCUGAAUGAAGCCUGGAUCACGUUCAACACUUGAUCUUUCUCCUUGAUAUUCUUCUUCUCCUCUUCUCUAAAAUUUUUUCUUGCUAUGUACUACUAUCAGAUGCUAGAAACCAGUAAGAA
rnacentral:lncRNA from 1 species